rnacentral:rRNA from 1 species
GGCGGACGGGUGAGUAACGCGUGAGAAUCUGCCUUUAGGUCGGGGACAACGGUUGGAAACGACUGCUAAUACCGGAUGUGCAGCAAUGUGAAAGAUUUAUUGCCUAAAGAUGAGCUCGCGUCUGAUUAGCUAGUAGGUGUGGUAAUGGCGCACCUAGGCGACGAUCAGUAACUGGUCUGAGAGGAUGACCAGUCACACUGGGACUGAGACACGGCCCAGACUCCUACGGGAGGCAGCAGUGGGGAAUUUUCCGCAAUGGGCGCAAGCCUGACGGAGCAAUACCGCGUGAGGGACGACGGCUUUUGGGUUGUAAACCUCUUUUCCCUGGGAAGAAGAUCUGACGGUACCAGGGGAAUCAGCAUCGGCUAACUUCGUGCCAGCAGCCGCGGUAAUACGAGGGAUGCAAGCGUUAUCCGGAAUUAUUGGGCGUAAAGCGUCCGCAGGUGGCUUUGUAAGUCUGUCGUUAAAGCGUGGAGCUCAACUCCAUAUCGGCGAUGGAAACUACAAGACUAGAGUUUGGUAGGGGUCACGGGAAUUCCUAGUGUAGCGGUGAAAUGCGUAGAUAUUAGGAAGAACACCAGCGGCGAAAGCGCGUGACUGGGCCAAUAC